rnacentral:rRNA from 1 species
GUUGGGUAGGGGAGCGUUCUGUAAGCCUGUGAAGGUGUGUCGUGAGGCAUGCUGGAGGUAUCAGAAGUGCGAAUGCUGACAUAAGUAACGAUAAAGCGGGUGAAAAGCCCGCUCGCCGGAAGACCAAGGGUUCCUGUCCAACGUUAAUCGGGGCAGGGUGAGUCGACCCCUAAGGCGAGGCCGAAAGGCGUAGUCGAUGGGAAACGGGUUAAUAUUCCCGUACUUGGUGUUACUGCGAAGGGGGGACGGAGAAGGCUAUGUUGGCCGGGCGACGGUUGUCCCGGUUUAAGCGUGUAGGUGUGUGUUCCAGGUAAAUCCGGUUCACUUUAACACUGAGGCGUGACGACGAGGCACUACGGUGCUGAAGCAACAAAUGCCCUGCUUCCAGGAAAAGCCUCUAAGCAUCAGGUAACAUCAAAUCGUACCCCAAACCGACACAGGUGGUCAGGUAGAGAAUACCAAGGCGCUUGAGAGAACUCGGGUGAAGGAACUAGGCAAAAUGGUGCCGUAACUUCGGGAGAAGGCACGCUGACACGUAGGUGAAGUGAUUUACUCAUGGAGCUGAAGUCAGUCGAAGAUACCAGCUGGCUGCAACUGUUUAUUAAAAACACAGCACUGUGCAAACACGAAAGUGGACGUAUACGGUGUGACGCCUGCCCGGUGCCGGAAGGUUAAUUGAUGGGGUCAGCGCAAGCGAAGCUCCUGAUCGAAGCCCCGGUAAACGGCGGCCGUAACUAUAACGGUCCUAAGGUAGCGAAAUUCCUUGUCGGGUAAGUUCCGACCUGCACGAAUGGCGUAAUGAUGGCCAGGCUGUCUCCACCCGAGACUCAGUGAAAUUGAACUCGCUGUGAAGAUGCAGUGUACCCGCGGCAAGACGGAAAGACCCCGUGAACCUUUACUAUAGCUUGACACUGAACAUUGAGCCUUGAUGUGUAGGAUAGGUGGGAGGCUUUGAAGCGUGGACGCCAGUCUGCAUGGAGCCGACCUUGAAAUACCACCCUUUAAUGUUUGAUGUUCUAACGUGGACCCG